UGGCACUCCAGAUGUUUUGGACUACACCUCCCAUGAUGCUUUGCCAGCAUUAUGGGGGAUGUAGUCCAUAACCUCUGGAGUGCUG